rnacentral:rRNA from 1 species
CUACGGGUGGCACCAGUGGGGAAUAUUGGACAAUGGGCGAAAGCCUGAUCCAGCAAUGCCGCGUGAGUGAUGAAGGCCUUAGGGUUGUAAAGCUCUUUUACCAGGGAUGAUAAUGACAGUACCUGGAGAAUAAGCUCCGGCUAACUCCGUGCCAGCAGCCGCGGUAAUACGGAGGGAGCUAGCGUUGUUCGGAAUUACUGGGCGUAAAGCGCGCGUAGGCGGCUUUUUAAGUCAGGGGUGAAAUCCCGGAGCUCAACUCCGGAACUGCCCUUGAAACUGGGAAGCUAGAAUAUUGGAGAGGUAAGUGGAAUUCCGAGUGUAGAGGUGAAAUUCGUAGAUAUUCGGAAGAACACCAGUGGCGAAGGCGACUUACUGGACAAUUAUUGACGCUGAGGUGCGAAAGCGUGGGGAGCAAACAGGAUUAGAUACCCUCGUAGUC